CACGUAGGGGCAAGCGUUGUCCGGAAUCAUUGGGCGGUAAGAGCUCGUAGGCGGCUCAGUAAGUCGGGUGUGAAACCCUCAGGCUCAACCUGGGGGACGCCACCCGAUACUGCUGUGGCUAGAGUCCAGUAGGGGAGGUGUGGAAUCCGGUGUAGCGGUGGAUGCGCAGAUAUCAGGAGGAACACCGAUGGCGAAGGCAGCUCACUGGGACGGGUACUGAGCUGAGGCGCGAA
rnacentral:rRNA from 1 species